GGCGCGCCGCGCCUUUCCCCUGGCUUCGCCCGCCAGCCUUGGUGCACAAACCCGAUGUUUUUCCGCCGGUUUCCAAAGAAGCAAGCUCAUGGUGCUUUAAGAUCCCUAAGCUGUAUGGAGUGAAACCUGUAGCCUUCACUUCUUUGCCCUCUGUCACACUGAAAUAACUGUGUUGCAGCUUGAUGUGGGAUCUCAUUCUCCAGACCAGGGAUUGAACCCAGGCCACAGUGGAUCUGGAAAUAAAGCAAGGAUUUGUGACUACUGCUGAUCACUUCUGGAGCUGUCUUGAGACU